rnacentral:lncRNA from 1 species
AGUUCGGUUUUGCUUUCACUGUGACAAAGCAGCAUCAAAUUCAAUGCAAUGUCUCACAAUAGCUGCGCUCUCCCUCUUCCAAGCACAGAGAUUCUCUCUCUACGCCACAAAGCCACUGCCAUGGGAUGGGGACAGGUGGCAUCAGCAACUCAAGACUGUCUUCCCUACCCUCUUCAUUGCCUCUUUCAACAGUAUGAAGUUAAAAUCAGGACUACCCAGGCAGGGGGAGCUGCAAAGACCUUGGUUUCUCUGGCCCUUCCAACAGCAAGUAUCGCCAGGAGCAGCUCCCUAAUCUACAUACUACAGAUCUAUCCACAAGAAGACAGAUGGAACCACUCUUUUCUUCUGAAUUCUAGAACCUUAAGGAAGUUAACCUGAGUGGCUCAGCUUGGAUCAAGUGCCCAUCCUGGUCCAAACAACUGUAGCAGCACAUCUGUGUAUUUGUGUAUCUUGUUCCUCCAUAAUCUUGCAGUCCGGGGAAAGUGUGCAGAUGGAUGGGUCCCUGAAAAGCAAGAGUUGUUUAGACAACGCUAGAGGUGUUCAGUUCUGGGAGACAAGAGUUGGGCCAGGUUGAUAACUAGCCUAAGAGAGUCGGAAUCAGAUGAAUAAGAACUAGAUCUUGGGUGACAACCUAGAUCAAGAGUCUUGAGGUUCAGUCAUUUCAAAAAGCUCAAGUCUCAUUGCUUCUUGGCCUUCUGGCUAAGAUCAUGUGCAGUAUCUGUUCUUACCAGUUUAAUAUCUGAUACAUCCUCUAUCUGAGGAUAAUAUAAUAAAUAGAUUUUUGGAGCAAGGAGAUGGAAUAGGAGCUUGCUCUGUCCACUCUACACAUUGGCCUGGAUUGCAGUACCUCCAGGAAUGGUGCACCCUCUCUACCACCCCCAAAAAGCCCAAGUCUCAAGAGGUAGUCUGGAAAAAAGUGUUUUUGGAUUUACCUACAUUUUUUUUUCCAAGAUGGAGUCUCGCUCUGUCACCCAGGCUGGAGUGCAGUGGCGCCAUCUUGGCUCACUGUAACCUCUGCCUCCAGGAUUCAAGCAGUUCUCCUGCCUCAGUCUCCCAAGUAGCUGGGAUUACAGGUGUGUGCCAACCAUGCUCAGCUAAUUUUUCUAUUUUUAGUAGAGACAGGGUUUCACCAUGUUGGCCAGGCAGGUCUCAAAGUCCUGACCUCAGGUGAUCUGCCUGCCUUGGCCUCCCGAAGUGCUAAGAUUACAGGCGUGAGCCACUGCGCCCGGCCUAAUUUUUGUAAUUUUAGUAGAGACGAGUUUUCACCAUGUUGACCAGGCUGGUCUCGAACUCCUGACCUCAGGUGAUCCACCCCCGCCCUCGGCCUCCCAAAGUGCUGGCACUACAGGCAUGAGCCACCGCUCCUGGCCGGGUUUGCCUACAUUUUGGAGAUGCUGCACACCAUGUCCCUCUUUUCAAGAGUCACGUAAGUAUUUACAUAUGGAAGACCCUGAGAAGGCACCUGGGAAAAAACCUGUUUAACUGUAAAUAUAAUAAUGUAUGUAUUUGUAUGUGGAGCUCUUCUUUUAGUGGAUUAUCUAUAAACCGUCCACUGUUCCCAAUGCAUACUUUGGAGACAGACCUACACUACCAGUUUUCACCUGCUAGUUAUUUUUAUAAGGGUUGGGAUGGUCCAUGAGUGAACAGUCUUGAUUUAAAGCAGUGUUUCCCAAACCUCAUUUAUUUGCCUAUAGCCUUCCUGGAGUUUGUCUUAUAUGUCCGCUCUGUGCACUAUUCCUAUAUGUUUUUAUGUAAAUCAAUCACUUUUUUAAAAAGCCUCAUCCCAGUUAUAUCCUUAAAACAAUGGUUAUUUUUUCUCAUACACAUCGAAAUACAUAUCUAUUAGAAUU